rnacentral:rRNA from 1 species
AUUGAACGCUGGCGGCAUGCCUUACACAUGCAAGUCGAACGGCAGCGGACCUUCGGGUGCCGGCGAGUGGCGAACGGGUGAGUAAUAUAUCGGAACGUACCUUUCAGUGGGGGAUAACGUAGCGAAAGUUACGCUAAUACCGCAUAUUCUGUGAGCAGGAAAGCAGGGGAUCGCAAGACCUUGCGCUGAUUGAGCGGCCGAUAUCAGAUUAGCUAGUUGGUGAGGUAAAGGCUCACCAAGGCGACGAUCUGUAGCGGGUCUGAGAGGAUGAUCCGCCACACUGGAACUGAGACACGGUCCAGACUCCUACGGGAGGCAGCAGUGGGGAAUUUUGGACAAUGGGCGCAAGCCUGAUCCAGCUAUGCCGCGUGAGUGAAGAAGGCCUCGGUUGU